rnacentral:rRNA from 1 species
GUAGGGUGGCAAGCGUUGUCCGGAAUUAUUGGGCGUAAAGCGCGCGCAGGCGGUCCUUUAAGUCUGAUGUGAAAGCCCACGGCUCAACCGUGGAGGGUCAUUGGAAACUGGGGGACUUGAGUACAGAAGAGGAAAGCGGAAUUCCAAGUGUAGCGGUGAAAUGCGUAGAGAUUUGGAGGAACACCAGUGGCGAAGGCGGCUUUCUGGUCUGUAACUGACGCUGAGGCGCGAAAGCGUGGGGAGCAAACAGGAUUAGAUACCCUGGUAGUCCACGCCGUAAACGAUGAGUGCUAAGUGUUAGGGGGUUUCCGCCCCUUAGUGCUGCAGCUAACGCAUUAAGCACUCCGCCUGGGGAGUACGGCCGCAAGGCCG